rnacentral:rRNA from 1 species
GCUGGCGGCGUGCUUAACACAUGCAAGUCGAACGGGAUCCAAGGGCUUUUUGUUUUUGGUGAGAGUGGCGAACGGGUGAGUAACACGUGAGUAACCUGCCCCCUUCUUUUGGAUAACCGCAUGAAAGUGUGGCUAAUACAGGAUAUUCCGCUUUGGUCGCAUGGCUUUGGUGGGAAAUGGUUUGGUCUGGUGGGGGAUGGGCUCGCGGCCUAUCAGCUUGUUGGUGGGGUGAUGGCCUACCAAGGCGGUGACGGGUAGCCGGCCUGAGAGGGUGGGCGGUCACACUGGGACUGAGAUACGGCCCAGACUCCUACGGGAGGCAGCAGUGGGGGAUUUUGCACAAUGGGCGCAAGCCUGAUGCAGCGACGCCGCGUGAGGGAUGGAGGCCUUCGGGUUGUGAACCUCUUUCGCUGGGUUGAAAGGCCAUGCUUUGGGUGUGGUUGAUUUGAACUGGUAAAGAAGUACCGGCUAACUACGUGCCAGCAGCCGCGG